GGGAAGCAAAGGGGCGGACCUGGAGCGAAACCCGAAAAAAGUAGUCUCAGUUCGGAUUGCAGGCUGAAACCCGCCUGUAUGAAGUCGGAAUUGCUAGUAAUCGCGGAUCAGCAUGCCGCGGUGAAUACGUUCCCGGGCCUUGUACACACCGCCCGUCACACCAUGAGAGCCGGUAACACCCGAAGUCAGUAGCUUAACCGCAAGGAGGGCGCUGCCGAAGGUGGGAUUGGUAAUUGGGGUGAAGUCGUAACAAGGUAGC
rnacentral:rRNA from 1 species